UACGUAGGGGGCGAGCGUUAUCCGGAAUCACUGGGCGUAAAGCGUGCGUAGGCGGCUCGUUAAGUGAGAUGUGAAACCGUGUGGCUCAACCAUAUCGUUGCAUCUCAUACUGGCGGGCUAGAGGAUGGCAGAGGCAAGUGGAAUUGGUAGUGUAGCAGUGAAAUGCGUAGAUAUUACCAGGAACACCAAUGGCGAAGGCAGCUUGCUGGGCCACCCCUGACGCUGAGGUACGAAAGCGUGGGGAGCGAACAGG
rnacentral:rRNA from 1 species